CUUCCGGCUAGAGCAGUGUCGUUAGUUUCGCACGUGUGUUUCCCUUUCGGGAUUCCCGGAUUACCCCUGCAUCUGGUGAAUUUGUCGGGCCUGGGCUCCCCUGCAGAUUUAGGAUGAAGGUGAGAAGAAAUAAAAAACAGGUCCCAAGCUUUCGGAAGUUGCUAAAAACUAGUAAAGUCAAACUUGAAAACAAGCUAAAAAACAAACAAUUUAAACAACAAAGCACUCUCAAGAAGUACCGAAAAGAACAGAGGAAACUAAGACAAGCUGUAAAAGAUGCUGUGUCUAAGAAACCUAUUCCAUUGGAGGACCCAAAGGAAAAACGACCAGGUAAAAGGAUUGAGAGGGAAGAGAAAGAAGAGGAGGAAGCCCUUCCUUUAGAUAUGAUGGAUGAAGAUGACUUACAGUUAAUGAAGGAUUUAGGGCAAAGAGCAUCUUUUCUAACGAGAGAUCUUUCUUCUAGUGAGCCUGUUCACGCCAGGAAGCGGAAGCAUGAGCGUGUUAUAGAUAAAUAUGAAAAAAUACCAAGAACUCUGCAAACUGCACCUGAGAAGGAACUGAUUCACUUACUUCCUAUUAAAGAUAAAAGUGGUAUAAUCCCACAGACCAGAGAGAAACCAGUUAUUGACAGUAACCAAGAUGAAGAGGAUCAAGAAGAGAUGGAACCUGAAGAAGAGAUCACUGAAGAACCCAUUAAAGAGCUGACAUUAGAAGAACAUUUAAUUGAGAGGAAGAAGAAACUACAGGAGAAGAAAAUACGUAUCGCAGCCUUGGCAUCUGCCAUAUUAUCAGAUCCAGAAAGUAAUAUUAAAAAAUUGAAAGAAUUACGUUCCAUGCUGAUGGAACAGGAUCCUGACGUGGCUGUUACUGUUCGAAAGCUGGUGAUAGUUUCUCUAAUGGAGUUAUUUAAAGACAUUACUCCUUCUUAUAAAAUACGACCCCUAACAGAGGCAGAAAAAUCUACCAAGAUCCGCAAAGAAACCCAAAAGUUAAGAGAAUUUGAAGAAGGCCUGGUUAGCCAAUAUAAAUUUUACUUGGAAAAUCUGGAGCAAAUGGUUAAAGACUGGAAGCAAAGGAAGCUGAAGAAAAGUAAUGUGGUUUCCUUAAAGGCCUACAAGGGACUGGCAGAGGUGGCUGUGAAGAGCCUGUGUGAGCUGCUGGUGGCCCUGCCUCAUUUCAACUUUCACAACAACAUCAUUGUACUGAUUGUCCCUCUCAUGAAUGACAUGUCAAAAUUGAUAUCUGAAAUGUGUUGUGAAGCAGUAAAGACACUCUUUAAACAAGAUAAAUUAGGCCAAGCAUCACUGGGUGUAAUUAAAGUGAUUUCUGGUUUUGUGAAAGGCAGAAAUUAUGAAGUUAGGCCAGAGAUGUUAAAAACAUUCUUGUGCCUAAGGAUCAAAGAAGUAGAAGUAAAAAAAGAUACAGAGGAUACUAAUAAACAAAAAAAGUUCAUGACUUUCAAGGAAAAGAGAAAAACUCUAUCAAGAAUGCAGAGAAAGUGGAAGAAAGCAGAAGAGAAACUAGAGAGAGAGCUUCGGGAGGCAGAAGCUUCGGAGAAUACUGAGAAAAAACUUAAACUGCACACGGAGACUCUGAAUAUCGUGUUUGUGACCUACUUCAGAAUAUUGAAGAAGGCCCAGAGGUCACCUCUCCUGCCAGCAGUUCUGGAAGGUCUUGCCAAGUUUGCUCACCUUAUAAAUGUGGAGUUUUUUGAUGAUUUAUUAGUAGUUCUACAUUCUCUCAUUGAGUCUGGUGACCUAAGCUAUCAAGAAAGUCUUCACUGUGUCCAGACUGCUUUUCAUGUUCUUUCUGGGCAAGGUGACGUUCUGAAUAUUGAUCCAAUGAAAUUCUAUACACAUCUUUACAAAACACUGUUCAAGUUACAUGCAGGUGCUACGAAUGAAGGUGUUGAGAUCGUCCUCCAGUGCCUUGACGUCAUGCUGACUAAGCGCAGGAAGCAAGUUUCUCAGCAGCGGGCCCUUGCCUUCAUCAAGCGCCUUUGUACCCUUGCUCUUCAUGUGCUUCCAAAUUCAAGCAUUGGCAUUUUAGCAACUAACAGAAUAUUAAUGCAUACUUUCCCCAAAACAGAUCUGUUGCUUGACAAUGAAUCUCAGGGUAGUGGAGUUUUCCUUCCUGAGCUGGAUGAACCUGAGUACUGCAAUGCUCAGAACACUGCUCUUUGGGAAUUGCAUGCACUGAGGCGACAUUACCAUCCCAUAGUGCAGAGAUUUGCAGCUCACCUCAUCGCUGGAGCCCCUUCUGAAGGCUCGGAAGCACUCAAACCAGAGUUGAGCCGAAGAUCUGCUUCAGAACUUUUUGAGGCUUAUAGCAUGGCAGCAAUGACAUUCAAUCCUCCUGUUGAAUCUUCAAAUUCCAAAAGGAAGGAUAAAGUUUUACAAGGGGAUUCAUUUUUAAGUGAAGAGAUAAGUCAACUAAUCAAAAGACAUUGUAGUGAAGUUGCUACUCAGUUGCCUCCGGAUUUCACCAAAUAUUUGGAAACAUCACUAAGGUUCUAUGUUAAAAAAGAAGAAAAGUCUGAGUAGAUGCAGGUGUCAGAGGAGAGCAUAUUGACCAUAGGAAGACACCUAACAGCUUGAGAGCCCAGAAGACAAGAAAAUCAUACAAAGCAGGCAGGCAAGAUCAGAGGUUACCGACAGAGGCUAAACUUGAAGUGAGUGACCAGAGAAGGCUGCCACCAUCCGGCUUAGACUGAGCAAACAUUCUUCUCUUCAGGCAUCCCCUCCCCGCCCCCACCACCCGCCCCCAACAAUGAUGCAAGGACCAGAGUCAGCACUUGGCACUGCUGCAUCUCACUUGGAGAAGCAGAAUUAACUGGGGAUGGGGUGGGGGAGCAGAAGAUUCUCAAGAAGACUCUGCCCCCCUUACCCCAGCCCUUGGUCUACGGUCGAUGCUGGGCUGUGGAUUGUGUGGGGCAAGGCAGCUACUACUACAGCAAUAAUUCAGGGCACGAAGCUUCCAGGAGCAGGUCAGUCGACACUGUUAGCUCCAUGAUAGGGCCAGCGUCACUCCCUCCCCAGUCCUGCUUUAUAGCCCUGUGAUUACUCACGUAGGGUGACAGUAAUAUGCUACUUUUUAUGGGUGGUCCGUGGAAAUGUUUCCUUACUUUACAUCAUCCUAUUUUAUAACGUCUCCAAAACCCCAACAGUGCUUUGUGAUAGUAGACACCGAAGUUCAUGGACGGACUGAUUUAAAAAACAAAGCCCCCCAAACCACUUGGUAGUAGCUUCUGAUUGAUAAUCUAUGAAAUCUGACACAAGCUGCUUUCUCUGACUUUAAGUCCGUUGUAAAAUGUUGGGCAAAAUGUUAACCUGUGCCUAGAGAUUCCCCUCAAAGCAGAACUGUUUAUUAA